UACGUAGGUGACAAGCGUUGUCCGGAUUUAUUGGGCGUAAAGAGCUCGUAGGCGGCUUGUCGCGUCGACUGUGAAAACCCGCGGCUCAACCGUGUGGUCUGCAGUCGAUACGGGCAGGCUAGAGUUCGGUAGGGGAGACUGGAAUUCCUGGUGUAGCGGUGAAAUGCGCAGAUAUCAGGAAGAACACCCGUGGCGAAGGCAGGUCUUUGGGCCACUACUGACGCUGAGAAGCGAAAGCAUGGGGAGCGAACAGG
rnacentral:rRNA from 1 species